GGGCUGUUAGCUCAGCCGGUUAGAGCGCUUAUCUGAUAAGUAAGAGGUCCUUGGUUCAAAUCCAAGACAGCCCA
rnacentral:tRNA from 1 species